UGUUGAAUGAUGAAAAAAAAUCAAUCGGAUUCCCAUUGAUAUUUUUAUAGAUGAGAUUACAACCAGCUACUUCUGACAACA
rnacentral:snoRNA from 1 species